AACCAUUGCAACUUUAAAAACAAAGUGGCCGUACUUGUUCAGUCACAAAGGACUAUACUCCCACUUUGAGCUUCUUACUGAUAUUCCUGUGCUGCGUAGCCUUGACCUUGCCAUGGAAGAGUGUGGCAAAGCGAUUGUGGAAAUGCAAGGAUGAAGGAAGUUCUUCGUCAGCUUGAUGAUGAUGUCGAGCUGUCCUAUCAGGUCAUCCAUCUUCUUCUGUCUCACUUUUCCUAAGAUGUCUCAGGACUCAUUGUUCUUGCAGAUGGAUAUGCCACUGCAGCUGACCUGGAGAGUUCACUCCCUUUACCUGCAACUCCUCGUCUGAUACUUCUUGGAGAAACAGGAAGCCACUUCCAACGCUGGAUGCUCAGCAUUGAGGGCCAUAUUGUGUGCGAAGGGAUCCAGUCCACCUUCGUGACAGGGCUAGCGUCUUUUUUUUCAUGUUUUUACAUCUUCAACCUACAGUACCAAGAGGAGGCAGCCUGCACACUUGAAUUCAUCCAGAGACGCUUUGUGGGUAUAAACCCAGAAAAAGGGACAAAGGCUGCAAAGGGGAAAAAAAGAAGAACUGUCAAUGCACACGUCGCCAGCCUCAUGCGCAGA